GCGCUCGCUUCAGCAGCACAUAUACUAAAAAUGAUAGAGAAGAUUAGUAUGGUCCCUGCACAAGGAUCGCACUCAAAUGUUACAUAUUAUAAUUUUUA
ensembl:snRNA U6 U6 spliceosomal RNA